GACGAACGCUGGCGGCGUGCCUAACACAUGCAAGUCGAACGGAACUUUUUGAAAGAUUCUUUCGGGAUGAUUUUGAUUAAGUUUAGUGGCGGACGGGUGAGUAACGCGUGAGUAACCUGCCUUUGAGAGGGGAAUAACAAUCUGAAAAGAUUGCUAAUACCGCAUAACAUAUACGAAUCGCAUGGUUUGUAUAUCAAAGAUUUUAUCGCUCAAAGAUGGACUCGCGUCCGAUUAGUUAGUUGGUGAGGUAACGGCUCACCAAGACCGCGAUCGGUAGCCGGACUGAGAGGUUGAACGGCCACAUUGGGACUGAGACACGGCCCAGACUCCUACGGGAGGCAGCAGUGGGGGAUAUUGCGCAAAUGGGGGGCAACCCUGACGCAGCAACGCCGCGU
rnacentral:rRNA from 1 species